AAAUUGUUGUAGAAUUUCCACAUUGUAAUUUUAAUCUUCUCUAGAAGUUGUAAUGCCCAUAAAUCCGAGAGAAGUUCUUUGCGGAGGUAGUCAUAGGAGUAGACGAAUCUUUUUGUAAUUCUGAAUUUCCUUGUAUAAGUACCUUGUAACCACUCUUCACAGUAUACGCCCCUGAUCCGUCCAGCCUCCAAAUCCUAGAACUCAAGGGCGAAGCCAGAAAAGAAUUUUUGGAG
rnacentral:lncRNA from 1 species